rnacentral:ncRNA from 1 species
UAUCUUAUCAGUGAAGGUUCUUUAUUGAUGCUCAUUCAAUCUGCAUGUGACUGUCAUCUCACUAAUUGAUUGAUUAAGUUGAUAAUCAUAAGUUAUUUCCGUAGUUAUUAAACCCAUUGUGCUUGUUUUAUAUGAGUAUAAUCUGGUUCAAUAGCUAUUUUCUUUUCCAUUUAAUCAAACCUUGUCUGACUGCAUUACUAGAAGGCCUUGUGAGAUUUUAUAUUUCUAGACAGUCUUGAACACAUAGUCCAGUCCCUAGAUAUUCAUCUUGAUCCAAAAACCACAUCAAUUGUUAAGAAAAUAUUUCCCAAAAAGAGUUAGUUUCCAGACAUCUCUGACUUACAGCCUAGGAGAGUUUCCUGGAGUGAUAACAGGAUCAACCGGAGAUAGGUUCCAACAGCUGGAAGAGCAUCUCACAUCUUGCAGUGUCUAGUGCACCCUCGAUGGCCCUUGAAAAUUUGGAGGACCGAGUACCGUCCAUGCUCGGUCGUACUCAUAAUCGCAUCUGGUCUCCAAGGUGAAUAGCCUUUGGUCAAUAGAACAAUGUGGUUAAGGGAAGUCGGAAAAACAGAUCCAUAACUUUAGGAAAAGGAUUGGCUCUGAGGGUUGGGCCUAGGGGUCUGCAUCCUCAACACGUGGGAUGUGGACAAUCUUCUCAUGGGACUAUCAUUGAUUAAUGUUACCUCCUUUUGAAUGGUAGUACAACUAAUUAAUGCUACCUCCUUUUGAAUGGUAGAGCACCACCUAUCAUUCAUGAUCCAACACAUAGUAUUCAAGAAUCCCAUCCAUUACUAAUUGUUGGGCUCUAAAGAUGUCCUAAAAACAACCUUAGUUUAACAUUAAUUUA